rnacentral:rRNA from 1 species
UACGGGAAGCAGCAGUGAGGAAUUUUUCACAAUGGACGAAAGUCUGAUGGAGCAAUACCACGUGAACGAUGAAGGUCUUCUGAUUGUAAAGUUCUUUUAUUUAGGAAAAAAAGCGUGCUAGGAAAUGAGCGCGCCUUGAUGGUACUAAUUGAAUAAGUGACAGCUAACUAUGUGCCAGCAGCUGCGGUAAAACAUAGGUCACGAGCAUUAUCCGGAUUUAUUGGGCGUAAAGGAAGCGUAGGCGGGGAGGUUGAUCCAUUGUUAAAAGCAUUUGCUUAACAAAUGUGUGCAUUGGAGAUCGCCUCCCUAGAGUUAAUCAGGGGGUACUGGAAUUCAAUGUGUAGCGGUGGAAUGCGUAGAUAUAUUGAGGAACACCAGAGGCUAAGGCGAGUACCUAGGAUAUAACUGACGCUGAGGCUUGAAAGCGUGGGGAGCAAAUGGGAUUAGAUACCCCAGUAGUCCACGCCGUAAACGAUGAGCAUUGGGCAUUUGACAUCUGGUCGAGUGCUGUAGCUAACGCGUUAAAUGCUCCGCCUGGGUAGUAUAUAUGCAAAUAUGAAACUCAAAGAAAUUGACGGGGACCUGA